UCCCGUGUGAAUCUGCGAGGACCACCUCGUAAGGCUAAAUAUUCCUGGAUGUCCGAUAGCGCAUAGUACCGCGAGGGAAAGGUGAAAAGAACCCCGGGAGGGGAGUGAAAUAGAACGUGAAAUUGCAAGCUUACAAUCAGAAGGAGAACGACUUAGCGUUUGACUUCGUGCCUGUUGAAGAAUGUUCCGGCGACUUAUAGUUAGUGGCAGGUUAAGAUAGAGAUAUCGGAGCCAUAGUGAAAGCGAGCUUGAAUAGAGCGUUAGUCACUAGUUAUAGACCCGAACCCGGUUGAUCUAACCAUGGCCAGGAUGAAACUUNGGUAACACUAAGUGGAGGUCCGAACCGACUUAUGUUGAAAAAUGAGCGGAUGAGUUGUGGUUAGGGGUGAAAUGCCAAUCGAAANCGGAGCUAGCUGGUUCUCCCCGAAAUGUAUUUAGGUGCAGCGGUUNNUGUUAUAGCGUAGGGGUAAAGCACUGUUUCGGUGCGGGCUGGUAAUUCGGUACCAAAUCGAGGCAAACUCUGAAUACUACGUGUACAACUAACCAGUAAGACUACGAGGGAUAAGCUUCAUAGUCAAGAGGGAAACAGCCCAGAUCACCAGCUAAGGCCCCNAANUAAUUGCUAAGUGNUAAAGGUNGUGGAAAGGCUUAGACAACCAGGAGGUUUGCUUAGAAGCAGCAAUCCUUUAAAAAGUGCGUAAUAGCUUACUGGUCGAGCAAUCCUGCGCCGAAAAUUUAUGGGACUAAGUAAUUCGCCGAAGCUGUGAGGUAUACAAUAAUGUAUAUCGGUAGGGGAGCGUUCCGUUGUAGGUUGAAGUAUUAGCGAAAGCGGAUAUGGACGAAACGGAAGUGAGAAUGUAGGAUUGAGUAGCGAAAACAUUGGUGAGAAUCCAAUGCUCCGAAANCCUAAGGUUUCCUCCGCAAGGCUCGUCCACGGAGGGUGAGUCAGGUCCUAAGGUGAGGCUGAAAAGCGUAGUUGAUGGACAACAGGUUAAUAUUCCAGUACUGAUUAUUACUGGUAUCGAGGGACGAAGAAGGCUAAACUAGCCGGAUAUUGGUUACCGGUUCAAGUAUUCAAGAUGUUGAUAACUAGAGAAAAUAGUUUGAGUUGAGAUACGAGUACAAGAUUCUAGAAAUCAAAGUAGUUGAUGUCAUACUUCCAAGAAAAGCUCGCAAUGCCAUAAGUAAUAAUCACCUGUACCUUAAACCGACACAGGUAGGGAGGUAGAGAAUACCAAGGAGCGCGGGAGAACCCUCCUUAAGGAACUCGGCAAAAUAACUCUGUAACUUCGGGANAAAGAGUGCCNUUUNGGCUGCAAUAUCAAGUUCCAAGCAACUGUUUAGCAAAAACACAGGUCUCCGCUAAGUUGUAAAACGACGUAUGGGGGCUGACACCUGCCCAGUGCCGGAAGGUUAAAGAAGUCGGUUAGCAUUAGCAAAGCUGGUAACUGAAGCCCCGGUGAACGGCGGCCGUAACUAUAACGGUCCUAAGGUAGCGAAAUUCCUUGUCGGGUAAGUUCCGACCCGCACGAA
rnacentral:rRNA from 1 species